rnacentral:rRNA from 1 species
GAGUUUGAUCCUGGCUCAGGACGAACGCUGGCGGCGUGCUUAACACAUGCAAGUCGAGCGGUAAGGCCUUUCGGGGUACACGAGCGGCGAACGGGUGAGUAACACGUGGGUGAUCUGCCCUGCACUCUGGGAUAAGCUUGGGAAACUGGGUCUAAUACCGGAUAUGACCGCAGGCGGCAUGGGUGUGUGGUGGAAAGAUUAAUCGGUGCAGGAUGGGCCCGCGGCCUAUCAGCUUGUUGGUGGGGUAAUGGCCUACCAAGGCGACGACGGGUAGCCGACCUGAGAGGGUGACCGGCCACACUGGGACUGAGACACGGCCCAGACUCCUACGGGAGGCAGCAGUGGGGAAUAUUGCACAAUGGGCGGAAGCCUGAUGCAGCGACGCCGCGUGAGGGAUGAAGGCCUUCGGGUUGUAAACCUCUUUCAGCAGGGACGAAGCGUGAGUGACGGUACCUGCAGAAGAAGCACCGGCUAACUACGUGCCAGCAGCCGCGGUAAUACGUAGGGUGCGAGCGUUGUCCGGAAUUACUGGGCGUAUAGAGUUCGUAUGCGGUUUGUCGCGUCGUUUGUGAAAACCCGGGGCUCAACUUCGGGCUUGCAGGCGAUACGGGCAGACUUGAGCGUUUCAGGGGAGACUGGAAUUCCUGGUGUAGCGGUGAAAUGCGCAGAUAUCAGGAGGAACACCGGUGGCGAAGGCGGGUCUCUGGGAAACAACUGACGCUGAGGAACGAAAGCGUGGGUAGCAAACAGGAUUAGAUACCCUGGUAGUCCACGCCGUAAACGGUGGGCGCUAGGUGUGGGUUCCUUCCACGGGAUCUGUGCCGUAGCUAACGCAUUAAGCGCCCCGCCUGGGGAGUACGGCCGCAAGGCUAAAACUCAAAGGAAUUGACGG